UAAGUACUCCCUCCGUCCAAAAAUACUUGUCACAGGAAUGGAUGCAUCUAGUUGUAUUUUAGUUUUAGAUACAUUCAGUUUUACAAAUUUGUGCGACAAGUAACUCCGGAGGGAGUAUUUU
rnacentral:pre_miRNA from 2 species